UACGAGGGGUGCAAGCGUUAUUCGGAAUUACUGGGCGUAAAGGGUGCGUAGACGGUUUAUCAAGUCUCCUGUUAAAGACCUCGGCCUAACCGGGGACCAGCGGGAGAAACUGGUAUGACUAGAGGGUGGAAGAGAGAAGUGGAAUUCUCGGAGUAGCGGUAAAAUGCGUAGAUCUCGAGAGGAACACCGAUGGCGAAGGCAGCUUCUUGGUCCAUUUCCUGACGUUGAGGCACGAAAGCGUGGGUAGCAAACAGG
rnacentral:rRNA from 1 species